GACGAACGCUGGCGGCGUGCUUAACACAUGCAAGUCGAACGGAAAGGCCCUGCUUUUGUGGGGUGCUCGAGUGGCGAACGGGUGAGUAACACGUGAGUAACCUGCCCUUGACUUUGGGAUAACUUCAGGAAACUGGGGCUAAUACCGGAUAGGAGCUCCUGCUGCAUGGUGGGGGUUGGAAAGGUUCGGCGGUUGGGGAUGGACUCGCGGCUUAUCAGCUUGUUGGUGGGGUAGUGGCUUACCAAGGCUUUGACGGGUAGCCGGCCUGAGAGGGUGACCGGCCACAUUGGGACUGAGAUACGGCCCAGACUCCUACGGGAGGCAGCAGUGGGGAAUAUUGCACAAUGGGCGGAAGCCUGAUGCAGCAACGCCGCGUGCGGGAUGACGGCCUUCGGGUUAUAAACCGCUUUCGCCUGUGACGAAGCGUGAGUGACGGUAAUGGGUAAAGAAGCACCGGCUAACUACGUG
rnacentral:rRNA from 1 species